UACGUAGGGCGCAAGCGUUGUCCGGAAUUAUUGGGCGUAAAGAGCUCGUAGGCGGCUUGUCACGUCGGGUGUGAAAGCUCGGGGCUUAACCCCGGGUCUGCAUUCGAUACGGGCUGGCUGGAGUGUGGUAGGGGAGAUCGGAAUUCCUGGUGUAGCGGUGAAAUGCGCAGAUAUCAGGAGGAACACCGAUGGCGAAGGCAGGUCUCUGGGCAUUAACUGACGCUGAGGAGCGAAAGCAUGGGGAGCGAACAGG
rnacentral:rRNA from 1 species